GGAAGGGGGUCGCAGGGGCGUUUCAGCAGAAGCCGAGCAAAAUGGAAUAACCAAGAUUUCCUUCCAUAGAAAAGACAUUAUGUUACUUUCCACACCUAGAACUGAAACCAGCCCUGUCUCUUGUGGGGAAAGAAAAAAAAAAAAAUCACAUAAUGCUUAUAAAGGAUUCGGAUGGAAACGAGUGAGGACCAGAAAUGUUACAAAAAAGCCAUUCCAUACAAUGGUUUGAAAUAUUCUGGGCCCAUUUGAUACAGGGAUUUGUGAUGAUCUGCAUGACCUCCCACGUCAGCGAUAAAAAUAACCAUUGGCCCCAUUGCUUAGAGCUUGAAAUAAACCAGAGAAAGGCAAUCAAUCAGUCAAA